GAUGGACGCUGGCGGCGUGCCUAAUACAUGCAAGUCGAGCGAACAGACGAGGAGCUUGCCCCUCUGACGUUAGCGGCGGACGGGUGAGUAACACGUGGAUAACCUACCUAUAAGACUGGGAUAACUUCGGGAAACCGGAGCUAAUACCGGAUAAUAUAUUGAACCGCAUGGUUCAAUAGUGAAAGACGGUUUUGCUGUCACUUAUAGAUGGAUCCGCGCCGCAUUAGCUAGUUGGUAAGGUAACGGCUUACCAAGGCAACGAUGCGUAGCCGACCUGAGAGGGUGAUCGGCCACACUGGAACUGAGACACGGUCCAGACUCCUACGGGAGGCAGCAGUAGGGAAUCUUCCGCAAUGGGCGAAAGCUUGACGGAGCAACGCCGCGUGAGUGAUGAAGGUCUUCGGAUCGUAAAACUCUGUUAUUAGGGAAGAACAAAUGUGUAAGUAACUAUGCACGUCUUGACGGUACCUAAUCAGAAAGCCACGGCUAACUACGUG
rnacentral:rRNA from 1 species